UACGGAAGGCAGCAGUGGGGAAUAUUGCACAAUGGGCGCAAGCCUGAUGCAGCCAUGCCGCGUGUAUGAAGAAGGCCUUCGGGUUGUAAAGUACUUUCAGUCGUGAGGAAGGUGUUAAGGUUAAUAACCUUAGCAAUUGACGUUAGCGACAGAAGAAGCACCGGCUAACUCCGUGCCAGCAGCCGCGGUAAUACGGAGGGUGCGAGCGUUAAUCGGAAUUACUGGGCGUAAAGGGCACGCAGGCGGUUAAUUAAGUUGGAUGUGAAAUCCCCGGGCUUAACCUGGGAAUGGCAUUCAAGACUGGUUAGCUAGAGUCUUGUAGAGGGGGUAGAAUUCCAUGUGUAGCGGUGAAAUGCGUAGAGAUGUAGAGGAAUACCGGUGGCGAAGGCGGCCCCUGGACAAAGACUGACGCUCAUGUGCGAAAGCUGGGGAGCAAAC
rnacentral:rRNA from 1 species